rnacentral:rRNA from 1 species
CAGUAGCCGCGGUAAUACGUAGGUGGCAAGCGUUGUCCGGAAUUAUUGGGCGUAAAGGGCUCGCAGGCGGUUUCUUAAGUCUGAUGUGAAAGCCCCCGGCUCAACCGGGGAGGGUCAUUGGAAACUGGGAAACUUGAGUGCAGAAGAGGAGAGUGGAAUUCCACGUGUAGCGGUGAAAUGCGUAGAGAUGUGGAGGAACACCAGUGGCGAAGGCGACUCUCUGGUCUGCAACUGACGCUGAGGAGCGAAAGCGUGGGGAGCGAACAGGAUUAGAUACCCCCGUAGUCCCUGUCUCUUAUAC